AGAACGGGUUAACCAGUACACUACAAAGGCGCAACGGCUUGGAGCUCGUCGGGAUGAAUGUGGCAAUGAAGAUCCGCUUUGCAGACGCUGUACACAACAGAUUUAGGGAUACUGGGCUCUUCCUCUCCUCCACUCUCGUUGCCCCUCUUUGCAAAUUUUCAAGUUUUCCCACAAGUCCAAAGAAACCUAAAGGAAACAAAGGCACAUUAAAUAAAAAAUCCUGGAGAAAAUAGGCAAAACACUGGAUGACAUUGAUGUGCUUCUGACAGUCCUUGGUCGAGUAACAGAUGAAGACUUUGGGUCGUGGUCGAGGCCUUUCCACAUGGAGGCUUCCGGCGUAAGUGGAGGACUCGGAGCUCUCCUCAUCAAGGUGACUGGACCGUGGGCUGCGAGCUCCAUGUGCUGCUGAUGCAGACUGGAAAACGUCCUAGCAAUGCCUUAGAGCCUUUCAUUGAGCAAACAGCGUCCGGAUCCAACACACACAAGACAGUGAUGAUAACUCGGGCAGAAAAGAAUCUCGGCAGGAGGCCCAGAACAUCGCUUCUCUACAACCAACUUCCUUUCUGUCGGGUUAACUGUCUCACAGCAGAGUCGGACAAGGAGGAUGCAAUAAAUAAAACCUCAGAAGGGGAUCCAGCCCAAUCCAGAGGUAAAACGUGCAAGAAAGAAAAUGCU